CCUUAGUUCAAAGUUCAAAAUUAUUUUCAUUUCUGUUCUCCUUUAUUUUCUUUCAAAUGUCUAAAACUCUGUCUUUUUCGUUACUUAAUCUAUAUAGAAGCAUCAUCGUCGUCGUGAAAGAAGGCUCAGAGACAAACAUAGAAGCGUCAUCAUCGUAAAAGAAGGCUCAGAAGUCAGAAGCAAACAUAGAAGUUGGCAAGUUGCCAUCAUCAUCGAUUCAUCAUUCGUAAAAGAGGGUUGGAGAAAAAGGAAGAAAAUGGGAUUAUAAUGGAUGUUGAUAUAUGAUCCAUUUUGCGAAAGACCUUGAAACGACAGAAGCUUGAUUUGUUUUUUUGUAAGGUCUUCUCAUCUUCCGGAUGGGUAUGGAUUAGAAUGAAUUAUGUAUAGAUGCAUGUAUAGGGCUGUUGUGUAUGUAUAUAGGGUGUGCGUGUGUGACACAUAGAUGAGUUUAUAGGGUUGUUGUGUUAGACGAAUUUAUUUUAUAGGGUUGUGUGUUAGACGUAUUUAUUUAUAGGGUUGUGUGUUAGAUGUAUCUGUAGGCUGUGCGUGUGUAUGUCUUAGACACUUAGAUGAAUAUAUAGGGUUGUGUGUUAGAUGUAUGUGUAGGUUCUACGUGUGUAUGUCUUAGACACUUAGAUGAAUUUAUAGGGUUGUUGUGUUUUAGAUG